AUUGAACGCUGACGGCAGGCCUAACACAUGCAAGUCGAGCGGAUGAAGGGAGCUUGCUCCUGGAUUCAGCGGCGGACGGGUGAGUAAUGCCUAGGAAUCUGCCUGGUAGUGGGGGAUAACGUCCGGAAACGGGCGCUAAUACCGCAUACGUCCUGAGGGAGAAAGUGGGGGAUCUUCGGACCUCACGCUAUCAGAUGAGCCUAGGUCGGAUUAGCUAGUUGGUGGGGUAAAGGCCUACCAAGGCGACGAUCCGUAACUGGUCUGAGAGGAUGAUCAGUCACACUGGAACUGAGACACGGUCCAGACUCCUACGGGAGGCAGCAGUGGGGAAUAUUGGACAAUGGGCGAAAGCCUGAUCCAGCCAUGCCGCGUGUGUGAAGAAGGUCUUCGGAUCGUAAAGCACUUUAAGUUGGGAGGAAGGGCAGUAAGUUAAUACCUUGCUGUUUUGACGUUACCAACAGAAUAAGCACCGGCUAACUUCGUG
rnacentral:rRNA from 1 species